UGCCCUGGAAAAUGAAAAAUGAAAUAACACAGCUCACUAUGUGCUACACAAGCAAGACACUGAGAAAAAGCAUAAAUUCCAGGACACAGACUUCGUCUCCCACACAGACUCCAACUUAGUUACGGAUCAAUCUCCGAAUCAAAUACAAAUCAAUCUCCGAAUCAAAUAUAGAACAUAUUAAUAUAUACAGCGAUGAGACUUCUUCACCAAAAGAAACCUUAAUAUAUACAACAAUAAGACUUCUUCACCAAAAGAAUCUGGCAAGUCAGGGACAUCAGGCAUUGUCCAGUUUCAAUCUGUCAGGUUCUCUGACAGGGCAGGAACAUCAAACAGGGCAGGGACAUCAAGCAGAUUCGUGCAGUAUUAAUCUGUCAGUUCACAAGUUGCAAUGAUGUACAAAGCUUUAAGUGAAAUUAGGCCAGGAAAGGAGCUAUGGAAAAUCAAAGCAAGGGUAACAAGACUAUGGGAUGCUAUCUUGCUCAGUAGUGGUGAACUUUUAAGUGUUGACAUGAUCCUUAUUGAUGAAGAGGUAAAAAGAUUCUUCAUUGUAAUUAAAAGUUAUUUGUAGUUUAUUUCAGUUUACAAGCUAAUGAUGAUGACAAUCUAGGGUACCAUGGUGCACGGAGUUAUCAAUAAGACAGUUAUGGAAAAAUUCAAAUCUUUGAUUCAAGAAAAUAAUGUUUACGUCAUAUCGAAUGUUAAAGUGACACCAGCAACGAAAACAUAUCGACCAGUGGAAAACGACAAGGUAGUGAACUUCUUGACCACAACUACUAUGCAGAAGAUCAAAGAUAUAGAUGAGAUUCCAAGAUAUAGUUUCAAGUUCUUCAACACAGAUAUGCUUUUCAAAAGAAUCAACAACGACACUUACCUGUCAGAUGUUAUAGGAGUUGCAUCAUACAUUGGUCCAGUUGAAGAAACCAAGACACAAUUUGGAGUAUCCAAAAUCCGUGAUAUUGUGCUCCUAAUCGAUGAUCAAGAAAUCAAAGUUAGAUUGUGGAAUUCCAAAGUUGACCAAGUCGAUGCUAAGUCAAAAUCUCAUGUCAUCGUAAUAACAUCUACAACCGUGAAGAAAUUUGGCAGUAAGUCUCCAUAAUAUCAGUCAUUUAAUUUUGGAUAAGCAUAAUAGUACAAAGUAAAUAAUUGAGAUAUUUGCAAGAUAUUCUCUAUCAUCAACCAACGCAACACAAGUUUUUAUAGAUUUACCUAUUCCUGAAGCUAUGGAUGUACAAAACAGUAUAUGUUCUAUUGAAAAUGUUACCAAAGAGAUACAUACAGAGGGCCAUCUAAAAGGGACAUUGGAGGAGCAAAUGCAGUACAAUAGAAGAACUUUGGAAGAAUUAAAUUUGAUUCUGUUCGACUCAUCAAAUGAGGAAAAGAUAUUUACCGUUGAAGCAACAAUUAAUGCAGUUAGUGCAAAAUAUGGUUGGUACUA